UGCGCAGGUGGGGAUGUAAGUCAGUGGUGAAAUGUUGCCGCUCAACGGUAAAAUUGCCAUUGAUACUGCAUCUCUUGAGUAUGGUUGAGGUAGGCGGAAUGUGUUGUGUAGCGGUGAAAUGCAUAGAUAUGACACAGAACACCGAUUGCGAAGGCAGCUUACUAAGCCAUUACUGACGCUGAGGCACGAAAGCGUGGGGAGCGAACAGGAUUAGAUACCCUGGUAGUCC
rnacentral:rRNA from 1 species